UUUUCAGGUCCAGAACGUGGGAAGCUGCGAGAGAAUUCAACAUUAAUGAAUCAAUGGUAUGGAAGUAGAGGAAGCAAGAAGAAUGAGUUGAGUAAAGUUUGACUUAACUGACUGUUUUGUUUUGCUUAAUGCCCCUUAUAAUCCAAAAAAUACGGUAACUUCUACAUUCCUUUAGCAUGUCCAGAAGUCCAACUUUUUGUGCAAUGGUUAGCAUCUUACUCUGCCUUCUGGGAGCCUCCGGAAGUGCAAAACAUUUCGUCAACAUUGUUGCGUUUGUUGGGGAGAAUACUUACAAGCAUACAGCACUUCAGAGUCACACUGCUAGCAAUCGAAGAUUUAUGUAAAUUUGACAAGCUGAACGAAUUCUGUACUGUAGAGGACACACGGCAGGGAGGAGAUUAAUUGACAAUGGUCUACAACCAAUCAGGACGCAGAACACCAUGCGCUGCUAAAAAAAAAAAAAGAGCAAACAUAAAAACCCAUAAUAUUUGCACAAAAAAUAUCUGCAAAACUGCGAGGCCGCAGGUGAACCGCAUUAUAGCACACAACAACACAAAAGUCAAUAUUAAACGCAGAGUACUUUAGGCCCGGAAGUAGGAUUCGUCACGUCAUCACUUAACGACCGGAUAGGCCUGCUCUAAUGUAGUAAUGUAUAAUAUAUAUAAGUAAUGUGAUGUAUACUCUACUCUGGCCUCCUUUUUGAGUCUAAGGGGGACCAACAGUUACGAAAUGAGCAUUGUGUCGUACACAGUAAGACGUGCAACUGGUCAAUGCAACAAUAAACUUGCCUUUUUAAACUCACCAUUUUCUUCUUCUUCUUUUUUUUUUUUACUGAUCUAUGGUGUGCAUUCAGCCAUCUUGUUUUGGAUUAUAUUACUAUUAUUCCAGUCAACAUAAAAAUGUUGUGACAGUUUUUGUGUCUUGCAUAAAAAAUUUUUGGAUUUCGUGCUUUAGACUUAGGUCCCUUUAAAAACCCAAAUAUAUGUUUGAAAAGAGCUCAAGUUUGCUUUUCCUCUUGUUCACCGGCUUUCUAUCAAUAAGCUCCCUGAAAAAUGAACCUGUUCUAUCUCUCACUCAUGCCUGAUAGAUAGAACAGAGAGUUGUGAGAUGUGAAGUUAUUCCCUAAAGUAGCAUUUAUACAAGCAGCUGUGUUGCAUCGCCUGUGCAAGGUCAGUUUCUGUGUGUGUUGAAGCAUAUUCUAAGAACAGACAAACUUAAUGAGACAACAUCGAAAAAUGCUUCAAGCCUGAACAAUCCUGCUGAGACUCGGAGAUGAUAAAGUUUCAGGUCUUGUGUCAUUCGCUGAGAAUCACACAGCAAGAGCCUGUUUUAUUUUUUUUAUCAUUAAGUAGAAAUCGAGACUUGACAGAGACAUUCAUGUUCCUCAUAACAGUAAUAUCCAUUUGCUUUUUCCCCCUUUUUAAUCUUGCCCCAUCAUUAGUUUAAAAAUUUAAUGUUUCAUGCUUUAGUUAAUGAC
ensembl:lncRNA